rnacentral:tRNA from 1 species
GCAGGGGUGGCAGAGCCUGGUCAAAUGCGCUAGCUUGAGGGGUUAGUAGCUUUAGUGCUUGCUAGGGUUCAAAUCCCUACCCCUGCA